rnacentral:rRNA from 1 species
AUUGAACGCUGGCGGCAGGCCUAACACAUGCAAGUCGAACGGUAACAGGAAGCAGCUUGCUGCUUCGCUGACGAGUGGCGGACGGGUGAGUAAUGUCUGGGAAACUGCCUGAUGGAGGGGGAUAACUACUGGAAACGGUAGCUAAUACCGCAUAACGUCGCAAGACCAAAGAGGGGGACCUUAGGGCCUCUUGCCAUCGGAUGUGCCCAGAUGGGAUUAGCUAGUAGGUGGGGUAACGGCUCACCUAGGCGACGAUCCCUAGCUGGUCUGAGAGGAUGACCAGCCACACUGGAACUGAGACACGGUCCAGACUCCUACGGGAGGCAGCGGUGGGGAAUAUUGCACAAUGGGCGCAAGCCUGAUGCAGCCAUGCCGCGUGUAUGAAGAAGGCCUUCGGGUUGUAAAGUACUUUCAGCGGGGAGGAAGGGAGUAAAGUUAAUACCUUUGCUCAUUGACGUUACCCGCAGAAGAAGCACCGGCUAACUCCGUG